GGACAAGGCCCGGUUCGGGGCCCUUAAAUGUUCCUGCUCGUGUGUGUUAAUAAUAGUCUCUGGUUCAGCCCUGAGCUUAGGUUAGGAGCCCUGUAUUUUUUUUUUUUUUUUGUAGGAAGGAUUUGCACACUUUUAAGAGGCGUUCCUGCAAUCCUAGAAAUUGGUAAAAGUUAGAGAGCAGGAAGUGUGCGCCUUGGGGGGACACCUUGGAGUAAUUUACAGCCGGUGUAGCAGGCGGAGGACCCAGGUGGGGCUUCCUGUCUCCCGUUUCCUUCCUAAAUGUCCUUCCUUCGCUCUGGCCGGAAGCCACCUGGACAAGAUUUCCUCGUAGGGGUUCCCCUGUCGGUUGGCAUCAGUGGCGUUUGCUCCCAUGGCGCGUGCUGGAACGGUUUUCCGUGUGUCUGUCUGGUUGCACCCUUCAUGCAUCCUUCAUGCAUUGGUUUCUUCCUGUGGACCUACUGUGUGCCUGGCGCCAGAGAAAUACAUUCCAGGCGGUUCUGGUCUCCCAAGGAGUCAGUCUCUAGGGGAAGGAGACAGGAGACAGGGCAGGAAGAACCGGCCACUGAGCCAUCACCAAAGAGCUCAGGGGGCGCCAGGUGGUGAUGGAGAUUUCGAUUUGUCUGACGCCCUUGGCGACACCGAAGACAAGAAACCCACUCCGACCCCCAAAAAGCCCAGUUCUGGGGACGAUUUUGACUUAGAAGAUGCUCUUGGUGGCGGAGGACAUCAUGACCCGGCACCGCCCAACCCACCCAAGCCCAAGCCGCAUCCGAACCCCAACCAACCCGGUUCCAGCGGUAAGAGCCUCCAACCCCGUUGUGGGUUAUUUAUUUGUCUGUUGUCUGAUGUCUUAGUCAGCCGAGAGGAGGUGAUUUCAGGUUAGCAUGUGCUCUCUGCUCACGCCCUGUGCAGGUAGUUCCAGGGUUCGGGUGCGUGGAAAACGUAGCGUUCAAAAAUGUGUUUUUGAGGCCGGGGCGGGGGCUUUAUCUCCGGAUUUGGCUGUUGAUUUCUUUUGUGGUGGGU
rnacentral:lncRNA from 1 species